GGUCAUGAGCGUCAGCGACAAGCCCUGGCUCGCUGGCCGGCAACCCUCGCACCGCGGUGGGGUGCCCCAGGUGACGACCGGACCGGACGACCUCGGUAAGCGCGAAGG
rnacentral:ncRNA from 2 species